AAAUUGAAGAAAUUUUUUCGAUGACUAUUGUCUGGGUUAUGUAAUGCUUAUUUACAUGUAAAAAUUUGCCUUUUACAUAAAAUUCAUAUUGUGUUAUGAGGAAUGCUUACAGAAACAAACGUGUUUUUUCGUUCGCGCACCUAGAGAAGGGAACAGCCAAAACAAAGCUGUCUGCUUGCCAACAGAAGUAGGUAGGACAGGCAAUGGUGGUAAAAGGGUGCUUUAAACCUCUCUUGCUAAAAGGCAUAAAUGACGAUCUCCAUAAUUCAUAGGGAUAUGACACCGGAAGAAAAUACAGAAUGUAGUCACGAAUUUAACUUCUUUUUGGAUAGACAGCUUCAAACCAAAUUGUUAGAACAAGACGAAAUUCUCCACGCAGAAGAACUCUACUCCCAGUUUAACAUCAAUAGUUCGGAAUUAAAGAUUGUGAAUUCCAAAGUACUUGGGAAGAAUGAAGAAAUACAAGGCUGGGUCAGUGAACCUAAAGUUGUACUACGCAAACCAGAAAGAGAGAGCGUCAAACAACCACAGCCAUCAUGGCGUGAUUUCAGGAACAAGCAAGUGCCUAUCCAAGACCCCUUUGUAUUCAAACAUUAUGGAGAUAUUCGUGCAUACAUAGAACAGUACCGCAGGGAUCAUACCAAUGGACUGGGUUUUAAGUCACAUAGUGCUUUGGAACGGAUGCAGGGUGAUGGCAUUCGAAGGUAUGGCCACUCACCCUCCCAAAUUCAUGUUCAGCAGCAGAAUGCGUGUAACUGUGGUGCCCCACCAUGUGCUUCAGAAGUCCAGAAAUACCUCACAGCUGCCCUGCAGUACACAAACAGACAGCCUACUUCCCUGACCAAUCAUUCUAAUCCCCCCUCUCAGGGAGCUCAAAGUGCCAAUCCCCACCAAUCAUCUCACCAACCACAUACCCAUAAUGGGCACAUCUGUACCAAGCACAAUCACCAUCAACAUGCGGAUAAGAAUAGCCAAGCAUAUAAAUACAAAUUGUCACCAGACUGCCAAGUGAUGUGGUCAAGUCGGACAGAAUCUCAGAAUUCGGAACGAGUUGAACAGCCUUCACCUCGCAUGCAAUCUGCCAAAGUGUACCCCUCAGGAAAAGUUCCCACCAAGGUGUCUGUGCCUGCUGUCCCACCCAAUGGUCAUGUCAAGCGACCCCCUGUAUCCGUCAGACCCAAACUGAGGAACACUUUCCUAGGGGUCAGUGCGUGGCGAUUGCCGAGUCGGGUUGGUAUACAGGACACGGAUAAACAGUAUAUCAAUUUAUUACAAAACAACCCCAACAAAAUUGUGGAGUCUGUCACGCCCCCAUCCACCAACAUCCGCACGUUAGACACACUUGCAUGUGUCGCGACUGACAAACAGAUAAAAACACACCAUUGUGAAACUCCGAAAUCUGACAGGAUCGAAUUGGACAUUGGAGCGUCCGUGUCCGAAGACGAAGAAGUGGACAAUUCGGACAGUGACGCCAUAAGUAUGAGCCGAUUAUCCACCGCAUGUCUUGGUGCAGAUUUACGUGUAAAAAGCGAGAAUCUAGAACCUUCUUGUACUUACCACGUGUUUCCAAACGAAAUGAUGCUGGAUACCAACGUGACUGUUUUGAAUACCAGGAGUUUGACAUGGUACCCAUCGAUUUCCACUCCUCCGCGGCCGAAGUCACGGGCAAAACACUCCAAAGCUGAUGCUCACCCGUCCCAUUCUAUGCCAGAGAUCUCAGUGGCAGUUGCUGAAUAUUAUAGUCCGCGUUUGAUUCGAUCAAGGACGGAGGACAAAAUAGACUUUCCUUUGAUAAAGAAAGAUGUGAAAGGGAUGCUAGUGGCGGCUGAUAUAAAUAUAGGAGAUCAGGCUAAGUUGGGGUCAAACAGAACCGGUUCUGGUCUAACAGAUGAACUAGAAACUGAUAUUGAAACUCCCAGAAUAAUGUCAUUAAGAGAAAGUAAGACAAAGCUUAUGAAGAACCUUCGGAAGAAGUAUGCUGGGUAUAUUAAUAAUAAAGGUAAAAAGCCAGUUCAUAAACCGACAGGUGUGCCGGAGAGUCAUAGCGCCAAGAGUGUGAACUCGGACAGGACGGGAUCCAUCCAUAGUGCUAUUAAAGAGGAGAGGAAUGUUCACACGGCUGAUCCGACACUGCAUUACUGGAGGUUCGACCAAAAGGAAAACGACCGGAAGUCUGUGACGUCCCAAAGGAGCAGUAGGCAGCGGGAAGCUGACGAGGAAUCCAUGAUCAAAGUGGCCGAGUAUUUGCUUAGUGAUUCCAACAUUUUGGCCACCCAAGGGCGUCAACAGGAACAGUCGUCAGGUCACAAGCGUGACGUGUCCAUGGCUGAAGGGGUGAUUGGCUUUGCGUUUUCCCACCCCACUUAACCUUGCUUAACGUCACUUGACUGCUGUGGGAGGAAUAUGCUAUACUAAGAUAUGUGGUUUGAUGCCAGCGGUAGGGCCUACGUCAGUUUAGCGGCCCGUUAUGACCCCCUCAGAAAAUAGACUUCAUUUCAUUUUAAGAUUGAAGUCCCUGCAACAAAGAGUGAAUUGACGUGGUGCGAAAAACUGGAGUUACUUAGGGCUGUUAACAAACCGAAAGAAAAA